rnacentral:SRP_RNA from 1 species
GCUGGGUGUUGUGGCGUGUGCCUGUAAUCCCAGCUACUCAGGAGGCUGAGGCAGGAGAAUCACUUGAACCCAGAAGGUGAAGGUUGCAGUGAGCUGAGAUCACGCCACUGCACUCCAGUCUGGGUGACAGAGUGAGACUCUGUCUCAA